rnacentral:rRNA from 1 species
UACAGAGGGUGCGAGCGUUGUCCGGAAUCACUGGGCGUAAAGGGCGCGUAGGUGGCGGCCCAAGUCCGUGGUGAAAGCUCGCCGCUUAACGGCGAGUCGGCCACGGAGACUGGGUGGCUCGAGCACUGUAGGGGCAGAUGGAAUUCCGGGUGUAGCGGUGGAAUGCGUAGAGAUCCGGAAGAACACCUGCGGCGAAGGCGGGUUGCUGGGCUGAUACUGACGCUGAGGCGCGAAAGCCAGGGGAGCGAACGGG